rnacentral:rRNA from 1 species
GAUGAACGCUAGCGGCAGGCCUAACACAUGCAAGUCGAGGGGUAACAGGGAAGCUUGCUUCCGCUGACGACCGGCGCACGGGUGAGUAACGCGUAUACAACCUGCCUAUCACACAGGAAUAGCCCUUGGAAACGAGGAUUAAUGCCUGAUGGUUUUGUAAGACCGCAUGGUUUAACAAAUAAAGAUUUAUCGGUGGUAGAUGGGUAUGCGUAAUAUUAGCUAGUUGGUAAGGUAACGGCUUACCAAGGCGACGAUAUUUAGGGGGUCUUAAAGGAUGAUCCUCCACACUGGUACUGAGACACGGACCAGACUCCUACGGGAGGCAGCAGUGAGGAAUAUUGGUCAAUGGACGCAAGUCUGAACCAGCCAUGCCGCGUGAGGGACUACGGUUCUAUGGAUUGUAAACCUCUUUUCUACAGGAAGAAUAAGGAUCUCGUGAGGUCUGAUGACUGUACUGUAGGAAUAAGCACCGGCUAACUCCGUGCCAGCCGCCGCCGAGUAAGAC